rnacentral:rRNA from 1 species
AGAGUUUGAUCAUGGCUCAGGAUGAACGCUAGCUACGGGCUUAACACAUGCAAGUCGAGGGGAACGAAAUAUUGGAAGCUUGCUUCCGAUAGGCGCCGACCGGCGCACGGGUGAGUAACGCGUAUCCAACCUGCCCACCACUUGGGGAUAACCUUGCGAAAGUAAGACUAAUACCCAAUGAUAUCUCUAGAAGACAUCUGAAAGAGAUUAAAGAUUUAUCGGUGAUGGAUGGGGAUGCGUCUGAUUAGCUUGUUGGCGGGGUAACGGCCCACCAAGGCAACGAUCAGUAUGGGUUCUGAGAGGAAGGUCCCCCACAUUGGAACUGAGACACGGUCCAAACUCCUACGGGAGGCAGCA